rnacentral:lncRNA from 1 species
AUAUGUACAAAUGCCAGCAAGAGUUCAGCAAGAGCCGCGGGUAUGAGAAUCUGCACGAAGUGGGGAAGUCAAGACAACCGUGGUGCUGGGUGAGUCUGGUGCUCGCAGGAAGCAGAGGGGUUUUCUGGCUAGAACAGAAAGUACCUGAGAGAGGAGGGAGAAGACCAGCCUUGUGGGGGUGACUCGGGGUCAUAACGGAACGUCAACCCCAAUCCUUUAGUUUGUGUUUUACCGCUAGUUGAGUGAGCGCUCUUGACUCUGGAUGGUCUCCACUAACACUACCAACAAGAAUUUUUCCUGAAGCCCUUCUAGGGAAGUGGCUGUUUGAACCCCACCAAGAGGCCCUUUCUCCAACAGUGUGCACACUCCCGGAGCCCCUCCACACAAAUGUUUCAUGUGGUGUAGCCGAGAAUUAAUUAGAAAAAGAAAAAAAAUCUCUCAAGUCAAAACACAUAUCUCACAACCUAUUAGCAUUAAGAUUAGCAUUAAAGAAAGUUGGAAACUAUAACAUUUUAAGCACAAUUUAUAAGUCUAAUUUCCUGUGUGUCACUCUCAGAUAAUAAAUGCUUUUCCUUCAAGUUGAAAAGUCUUGGUGGGGUGGGGGUGGGGGGGGAGAAAAGAAAACGUUAAUUUAAGGCCUAUUAGUUUAUUUUUAGUUGCCCAAGAUCUGAGGGACUGAGAACAUUUCCCUUUUCUGAUAGAACACGCCUUCCUGUGUAGCAAGGAAGUCCUCUGACCUCAGGCCUCCUCAAGGUGCUACUGAUUUUUGACAGAAUUCCUCAGGCAAGGACUUUGAAAAGAGGCUAAGCCGGGCCUGCAAGGGGAGGGCGAUCCGAGGUCCUGAGGGACAAGGUUAAUUGCUUGGAGCAUUGGAGAAUGGCGUGGUGAGGCAAGGGGAUGCCGGGUGACCAGGAGGCCCGCUUCCUGUAUUGCUCUGGAAGAAGUUCGUCGCCCACGGCUUCCAUAAUAAGACAUUCCUGCUAAUUUGCCAGGAGCUGAAAGGGAUUUCUGUUUUUAGCUUUGGGUCUGUGGCAACUGUUUUGUUUUAAACGAAAAUUAAAUGGGGACGUGGAGCUGGAGUUGGGGGAUGGGAGGCAGAGCCAUAAUUGAAGUGCAUUACUGGUAAUUACCUCGUUCUUUCUUUCACUCAUCAUGUUGACAGAGAAAUCUAUUACCCAGCAGCUCCGUUUCCACAAAUUGCCCUUCCCUGAGGACUUGGGGGUGGGGGGGUGGGGAGUGGGCCACGGUGGUGCUGGAGGAAAUCACUGCUUUGUUCGAGAGAGUGGGCCUCCAGCCAUCCCCAGAACAUGGCUCCGCUGUCCCGCACCCAGAGGGAGGGGAAGGGAGUGAGGACCCUGAGAGAGGACGAGGGAGUCACCUGGCGAGAAGGGUCUUGUCCCAACCAGGCCUUACCAUGCAGAUCCAUUUGGCGUGCCGCGUAGAAGGAUGGAGAUAAAGCCUCAUCACUGUCUGAAAAAAAUGAAAGGAAGUUGGAGGCAACCAUUGACGGAAGUAGCAGCCCCGUUUUGAAAGCUCUUGUGUGCCUGCGCAAUGCGGUAGGGCUCUUCACGUGGGAGAUGAGCCCCGGAGGGGCCUGUUCCCGUCGCUGCAACUGCCAGUGGCCCGCCCUUGGGUCCCUCCCUCCAUCUCUCUCAUUUCGCUCUUCUCGUGUCAACUUCCCUGCCCCCUGUCGCUCUCUCCUUCCUUCUUCAGCUCCCGUGUCUUGCCCUCCUCUCUCCUCUCACCUUCGAGCUCCGUGUGGCCUCACCUCCCAGAGGCCGGUCUCCCCUCCGACUCCACUCUGCCAACAGACCAAGUUGGAAGGAUUGGAGAGGGUUUUGACACUGGCGUUCCUCUCCGUCCUUCCAAAUCCUCUCUUAGACUGAGGCCUCCGGCAUGUGUUAGGGCUUUGGAAGCCUACCGGGCAGUAAGAAGAAAAAAUGAGCAGGGGGUGAUCUCAGUAGAGCCCCUGGCUUCAGGCCUCUUCCUCCUUGGUCCUCAGCAUUGGCUCCUUCAACAACAUAUACUGAGCCCCAACUGUCAGUGAGGAUUCAAAGACAGAGCAAGACACUCACCCUGUCCUUAAGAGGUUUAUGUUUGGCAUAGCAGUGAGGUGGGGGUGGGGGAAGGCAUUUCAUUACACUUUGAGCCUAAAGCAAAAUGCCACCAAGGCGAAGGGGCCACGAGACCUGGUGUCUGCUCCAUGUUUCAUUCAGUGCACAAUCCAGCACCCGCAAUGAUUUCGAAGCAACAGAAAUCCUAACUUCAGUGUCUAAAGGGAAUAUCAAAGGAAGAUUGCAUUCAUAACACAGGACAAAGCUUCCGAAAAUCCUUUUUUAAUAAAGCGAUUUCAAUCUCUGCCUAAAACCAGCUUUCCAUUCUCUGUGCUUCCACCAGUAACUCCCUGCCUUGUCCAGUGUAAAUCCUGCUUGCUGCCUCAGUUCUUGCAACUUUUCGGCCUGGUGCCCCUUUGCUUCCUCGCUCCGUGCGCUGCCUAGACAGAGACCGCCUCUUCAGGGUGGUGGGAAAGUCUUGGCUUUGAGGUAUUUUCCUUGCCAGUCUGCAGCUCUUGUGGGCACAUCACCCCGUUCCCCAGCCCAGCUCGUCCUUGAGCUUGAGAGGCACAUUACAGGGGUCCAGCACAAGCCUAGCUGUGACCACGUGACCACGCCUUGUGGGAAGGUAUGACUAAAGACCAUGGGUGCAGGCAGCCCCCUGAGAGCUGCUGGUGGCACCACACUGCUGGCAUACAGACUUGGCAUAAGCCCGGCCUAAGACCUGGCGUACAGUAGGAGCAAAGCAGGAGAAAAUGUCUGCUGAUGGGUCUGACCUGAGAAUUGCCUCCCCCAAAGUGGGAGAAGUAUUAGCGGGAAAGAGCUAUAUGGAUCUAUAUCAGAUCCCGGGUAAAUAACACUGGAGGGGACCCUGCAAUGGGGGGCUAGUCAAAGUCUCAAGAUACCUCCUCUUUAGGUAUCCCAUGGGGCUAUAGCCCUCUCCCCUUUCCUCACGCCCUUCCCAGGGGACCCAGGUAUCCUUGGAGGGGACAGGUCUGGGGGCUUUCAGAUGCCUUUUACAAGGAAAUGACUUCUCCUGACUCCCCUCCUUUCGGGUCUCCUAUAGCCAGUUACUCAGGGAGAGUCAUGAACGGUCCAACCGUCCUCAACUUACUUGGCUAAGAUCCACUUGAGAAGCACGUUGUGCCCUCCAACUGGAAUUGUGUGACUUCCCUGGAGUCACCUUAAAACAGCAAUCCAAGUGGAAGGUGCCACUUGCUGCGUACCUACUGUGCACCAGGCCCCUGCAUGCUGGGCGCUCCUACAUUUUUUUUUCCUAAUCCUCAACAACACUGUGAUGAGUAUUGUUGUCCUUAUUUUAAAGGUAAAGAAACUGAGGCUCAGAGAGCGUAAGCAGAAUUACCCCAAAUCACACAACUUGUUACAUAACCAGAUUUUGAGCUCAGACCUUUUUUAAAAAAAACAUUUAAAAAAUAUUUAUUUAUUUAUUAUUGAAAGAGAGAAUGUGAGCAGGGGAGGGGCAGAGAGGAGAGGACAGAUCUGAAGGGGGCUCUGUGCUGACAGCAGUGAGCCCAACUCGGGCCUUGAACCCACGAACCAUGGGAUCAUGACCUGAGGCCAAGUCAGACGCUCAACCGACAGAGCCACCCAGGUGCCCCAAACUCAGACCUUUCUGACUCCCGAACCUAGGCUGUUUCUACCAGCUCUGCUACUCUCCAAGCUGAAUGGCAGUCAGCUCUUUCAUUGCCCUAAAGAAGAAGGAGGAGGAGGGGCCAAGUGGCCUUUUUGGAAACCUUCUCACGUCAUGGUUAUUCCCUCGUCAUGAAAGCUUCACCUAAGAUCCUUGGAUGAGGAUAUCCGACCCUGAAACAAGAGUGGGUCUGACUGCCAUUUCAGACCCCUGUGCUAGAAGGCUGCCUAUGGCCAUUCACAGGAGGAAAAGGACUCCGCCAGAAUGUUAUUCCAUCUCAGAUUCAUGGUAACCAGCCUCAGGACUGGGGAAGACAGACCGCCCUGCCAAACUCUUACCAGUCACGGAGGCUCCCGGUGGACCCUAAACUAUCAGCUCUAGUUUUUUAUCUUGACAGUUCACUGUGCACAUUUUAAAUGAAUUGAACCUACCUGAGGCCACUGAAUUUAGUUCAACAUUCAUGGACCACCAUUCUUGGCCAGGUACUAGGAGGAGUUAGGUACAGAGAGAGAAACGGGGCAUAGCCCUUGCCCUUGGGGUGAUGGACUGCGCCAGCCAACUUGGAAAGCACUUUUAGAGAAGAACAGGGGUGUGGGGAGCAGGGGAGCCACAGUGGACCCAGUCCAAUGGAGAGGAAGGCAGGGAAGAAAUACUUCUUGGAAAAUAUGUAAAAGACUCCAGUGACGUCUAAAAGGCUCCCAAUCCCAGAAGUAAAGUGUGAGUUCACAGAUAUUAUGGAACUACUCUGUUUGUUAAGAGCCAAAGUCAUAAAGGAAGAAGAGGGGGGUUUUGCUUGCUUUGAUUUUUGUUUGCAAUAUCGAUUGAUUGAUUGAUUGAUUUAGAGACAGAGAGACAGAGCACGAGUAUGAGUUGUGGAGGGGCAGAGAGAGAGGCAGAGAGAGAGAGAAUCCCAAGCAGGCUCUACACUGUCAGCGCAGAGCCCAAUGUGGGGCUGGAACUCACGAACCCUGAGAUCAUGACCUGAGUCAAAAUCAAGAGUCGGACGCUUAACUGACUGAGCCACUCAGGGGCCCCUGUUUGCAUUUUUUUGAAAACCCUGGAAGAUGUCCAUCUAUAGAUGAAUGGAUAAGACGUCGUGAGACACACACACACACACACACACACACACACACACAGAGGACUAUUACUCAGCCAUAAAAAGAGUGAAAUCCUGCCGUUUGCCACAACAUGGGUGGACCUAAAGAGUAUUAUGCUAAGUAAAAUAAGUCAGAGAAAGACAAAUACCAUGCGAUUCCACUCAUUUGUGGAACUCGAGAAACGAAACAAACAGACAAGGAAAAAAGAAACAAAAAACCAGACUCUUAAAUACAGAACAAAGUGGUGGUUGCCAGAGGGGAGAUGGGUGGGGGAUGGGUGAAAUAGAAGAAGGGGACUGAGAGGACACUUACCAUGAUGAGCGCUGAGUAAUGUAUAGAAGUGUUGAAUCAUUAUAUUGUACACCUGAAACUAAUAUCACACUGAAUAUUAAUUGCACUGCAAUAAUAAUAACAAUACAAAAAAACCCCGGGGCAGACCUCCCCGCUUCACUACCCAGGGCUGUACCCACAGGUGUGGAGGCUCCGACAGGCGCAGGCGAUGGGAGCGGUCAGUUUGGUUUUCUUUGGCUGCAUGUGCCAACAUGAGAAUGAAGGAGAAAAGAAAAAGAGCAGAGGACGAAGAGUCUUUUGCUUGAAUUCAGUUAUUUCCCCAAGGCACUGCUCACACAGCACGGGCCUCCAUUUUAGUUAUUUCAUUUUUAAUGUGUUUAUUUAUUUUUGAGAGGGAGAGAAGGGACAGAGCAUUUUGAGAGGGAGAGAGGGAGGGGCAGAGAGAGAGAGGGAGACACAGAAUCCGAAGCAGGCUCCGGGCCCUGAGCUGUCAGCACAGAGCCCGACACGGGGCUCGAACUCACGCACCGAACCGUGAGAUCACGACCUGAGCGGAAGUCAGAGGCUUAACUGACUGAGCCACCCAGGCCCCCUCAAGCCUCCAUUUUAAUUGAUGUCUGGGGUCCUCACUAUGUGCCAGCAACGGCGUCGUAUGCCUUAUGUGUAUCAGCUAAUUGAAAUCUUCAAAACGAGCCUGUAGUAGAUACUAUUAUCCCCUUGUGCGGGGGUAGGGAGUGGGAGGCCGGGCGGAUCAAGAGCGCGGGUCUUUCCCCCUAAGCAACACCAGCUUCCGAACAGGUAGAAUGUUUCGCUAGCCUGCCCUUACGUUGCAUUCUGGUGAUGGCCUCCUGGUUCUGCCAGGUUCCAGAACAGCGUCUUCCUUCUUCCUUCUGUCUGAAUGUGUUUUCCUCUGAGCUGGCCCUCUAAGCGUGCUGUCACUGCAGCCACCUGUGUCUCCUGGCAGAAGCCGGAAAGGCAGAGCUAGAGGAGGGGCUCCCAGGGAAGGGGGCUGGGGAGACCUUGAAGCUUCCCGCUCUCCCUUGGCGUGGAGGUCCCCGAAGGUGUGGUCUGCCCCGGACGCUCUAAGUAGCUGGCCACCAAGCCACCCUUGGGCACAAACGCCAUCCCUGUCGCUGCACACGGAACUGAAUCUCCUAAAAGAACGCAAGCUGUGACGGAACGACAGAGACGGCGCCCUCCGCCGGGACAUCUAACUCGGUUCCGAGUGCGCAUUUGUGCAGAAGUAGAGGCCGCGUUCGUAGACGGUCAUGGGCGGGAGGGACCAGAAAGGGCACCCGGUUCAAUGCCUUAUGGGACUGAGGGGGAAAGGUGGACCCAGACAGGGGAAGGUGCCCAGAUCCCCGGCGUCCUGCCCCCGCGUCCCCUUGCCGGGCUGGAGGACUCCGUUCCCUGAGGACAGGAGUUCUUUCCCUAAGACAGGGACCAGGACUCCGUUCCCCAAGAGAGAGAGAUGGAAAGACUCCCGGGAUGAAGGAGCCUUCCACCCUCUCCGCGUGGGCUUGUUUUUCAGAGAUUCACGGACAUACAUUUCAGUUUUUUCAAAAUGAGUGCUUAAAAUUCAAGCCUCCUUUUGUUCCGCUUGAUCCUGGAAGAAUAAUUUUAGGGAUUUCAAGAUCUCACUUAACAAGCUUUACAUCUUGAUGAAAUGCUGAUUUUCAUAUUGUUUCCCAAACUGCACAGUUGCAGAAGCCACUGCCAAGUGAAAGCAGGAUAUUUCGAAGGAAAGCAUUUAAAAUUUAAAUCCCUGGUGACAAGUCCGAGGGUGGACGGAGCGAGGCGCGCAGCAGUGAGGUUUCGCAGCCCGCGGAGAAAGGCGGCAGAGGCGAGAGACGCUGGGAGGGUGACCGGGGGGCCUAGCUCAGCCCCCGCUGGCUGCGUGACCUCCGAGGACAGGUCAGCCCGCUCGGAGUCCCCAUGUGCGGAAUGGGCUUGCUCGCGCUUGCUUUACGACGCCUGCGAGACAAGAUGUGUGGAAACUGCUCAGUGGAGCUGAGCCGCCAAAUACAAUUCCGUCUGUAGACGAUGGGAGAGUCUGGGCUGGCAGCGACGGUCCGGCUAGUUGCUGUGGCCUCCUGAGGUGCAGGUGACAAGAGACAAGCUGGAGAAAAGCCAUGCCUUCCUCAGACAGCGCCGAGCGUUCUGAGUGUCGACGGCGGCCUUCAGUUCGGGGACGGUGGUAAAGGAGUGGGGGGCUUGGGAGACAUCGUGAUGGAGGAGGAAGAAUUUGACCAGGAGUCAGGAGAGGGGCCUCCAUGACUGGCGGUGUGACCGUGAGCGGGUCAGCAUCCUCUGGGGCCUCGGGCUUCCUGCGCGGACACGGAACUAGUGGGUCAGAAAUCGCAUUCGGCAUCUGGGUCAUCGCCACUCCGGGUGCACCGAAUAAACCUUUUUCGAGUGAAUGAAUUGGUGAUGGCUGUCCUGGGCCCCGUGUGGAGAAGAAUCGGGAGGCCUCUUCUCGGCGCAGCAGGAACAAGCAGGAGCGGCCAAGGGCAAGGUUGGGGUGGCGCAAGGGCUUCACUUAGGGUCAUAGGCCUGACUUUGGACUAGAUGAGCUCUCAGCUCCUGCCUGUGGUGAACAUCAGGCUCUGUGUCCACACAACAUCAGAAUCGCCCGCCGGAGAAGGGCCGCCCCAUACAGCUGCACAGGCUGUGCCCUGCACAAAUCCAGGGGGCACCCUUCCCAUCGCCCACAGGGAGCAUGGAGCCUCCCGGUAUCCAUGGGGCACAGUGGCGCCAGCUGGGAGACGGCAAUGUGCCACCAAAGGAGCACUGGCCUGGGAAUCCGGAGACCUGGCUUCCAGCCCCCCUGGGUCAGGGUCAGCCGCCAACUCCCCGUAGGGCCAUAUUCCGGUCCUUCCCCCUCUGUGUUCAAAUCGCUGGCUCCUUAGGGCUCUCCCUGGUCCAGGUUCUUGGAUGUUACGAGGGUUCUGUUUGCUCUGCUACAUGGCCAGGCCUCCAAUCUGGGCAACUGGAACUUUUUUCUGUGCAGCUGCAAAGCCAGGCUGACCCUUCGGAUCAGGGGGAAUUGUGGGGGGGCGGGCUUCCGGCAGAAGGUAAUGCCCCUGCCAGCUCCGAGACGGUAGGGUGCCACCCCAGGCCCCUUGCCCCCUCUCAGGAGCACACAGGUGGCAGUGACCUUUGGAUACGAGUGUGGGGUUGGUCCCCAGCCUUCUAUCCCUGCUCAAGGGAUGAGGCCAGCCCCUCCUUUGCUCCUGUCCAUCCCCCAAUGUCAUAGCAGUCUGCUGCACAUGCCCCUCUGUGCCCUCCCUCUGAGCCUCUGUGUUGGCCAUUCCUUCUGCCUGGAAUACCUUCCCCUUUCCUCACACCUUAUCCAGCAAAGUCCCACAUGAGCAUGAGCGUCUCAGUGAGGCAUAGCCUGACUCCCUCCCUCCCGGAGGUAACUCCUCUCCCCUCCUCUCCAUCUCUGCCUCUGCCGCAAGCCUUCCCUACAGAGCACUGGACGCUGCAUUGGUGUUGCCUUGUCCCCCCAGUGCCUGCGAGCUCUUUCGGGGGGUGGGCAGACAGCUGCACAAAAUAGGAAGAGACCACUUCUACGAAGCACUGACCACGUGCCUGGCCUGUGACUAAGCACUCCGUGGGUAUCGUUUCGUGGUUGUGACUAAACUGGACUUCAUUUUAGAGAAGAGGGAACUAAGGCCCAAGGUCACGGCAAGUAAGUGGCAGAAUGGGAUUCCAGCUGUUUGUUGCCUUGGAGCCUGGAGGACCAGACUCCUCUCCUCGGCCAUCCCUCACUCCCUCUCCAGGGCGGGGACCGGUCAGGUGGUCCUGGAGGAGAAGCUAGACGGAAACAUGACCCAGUGACAGGAGCAGUUUUCUGAGGUUGCUGUUAUCUGCAUAGAUCCGCUUGUGGUGCACUGAAAUAAAUUCCUUCCAGGGGGAUUUUUCCUUCCUUUCUUCUUCCCUUCCUGUCCCUUCCCUUCGCUUCACUUCCCUUCUUUCUCUCUCUCUCUUCCUUCCUUCCUUCCUUCCUCUCUCUCUCGCUCUCUCUCUUUCUUUCUUCUUUCUUUCUUUUCCUCCCCUCCUCUUUCCUCUUCCUCUCCUCCUCCUCCUCCUCCUCCUCCUCCUUCUUCCUCUUCUUCUUCUGUGUGUGGCAAGUGUUAAAACUAGUUUUCAAGCUCUGUUAAUGAAUGCCAGAGUGAUUAUGUUGAUAUCCCCAUCAGUUAUGCAGAAAAUCAGGUAACCAGACUAUUUACUUUAUGUAAUAGAUGUGUGGGCUUCUCGUUCACUCUCUGAAAGAACAUUCCUGAAAGGGUCAUUUUUUAUUUCCUGAGAUGCCUUUUUUCCUAAUUGCUUGAAGGUUUGAAAAUUGCUCCCUUUCCCCCAUUUUCAUUCUGUGCAAAUGCAUUUCCUCGUGUCACAUUUCCCUGACACCUCCGGUCCCCUGGAGAAGCAGGGCCCCUCCUCCAGCCUCCCACGUGCCUUCUGUCUCACCAGGAAAGCCUCCGCGCGAUUCGAGAUUUCAAACCAACUUGGAAGAAAUAAAGCUCCUUUGGUUUUCUCUUUUGUAAACAGAUUUGACAAAACGAAGUGGGAAGAGCCCCAGACCGCAUAUGAGGAGAGCUGGCUUUUAAUCUCAGCCCUGCCUUGAAUUUGCUCAGUGAUGGCCAGGUCCCUUUUCCCUUCUGUUUCUUUGAGUGUACAUCGAGGGACGAAGACAAUCUGUGGGUCUAAGAGGAGGAACAAGGGCCUGAGAAUGGAAGGUCCCGGAGCCAGAUUUUACUGGAUUUUGAGGAAAUCUCUCUCUCCGAACUCCCCACCCGCCCAGUCUGCCUAGUGGGAUAAUCCCAGCUGUGACCGGGCCACCCUCACGGGAAACUCUGCGACCAGGGAGCCAAAUUGUGGAAGGGUUGGCCCAGGCAGCUCCGGGUCCUUGGCUGGAGGUGGUCGGAGGGCUUGUCUACCCUACAAAGCAGCAGUACCCUUUGCUGGGUGCCCCUGCCUUGCAAACCACGUGCUCACGUGCCUGUCCACAGGUGCUCCUCUUAGGUCCUCCCCCACCCCUCGCGAUAAAUUUUACGGAUCUGAGCUGAGCGCACCCUCCUUUUUCUUAAUUUUUAAGUUUUUCUUUUUUGAGAGAGAGACACAUGUACAGAGAGAGAGAGAGAGAGAGAGAGAGAUACGUGAGGGAGGGGCAGAGGAAGGGACAGAAGCGCAAGCAAACUCCACACUCAGUGCAGAGCCCAACGCGGGGCUCCAUCCCAUGAACCGUGAGAUCACGACCUGAGCCGAAACCGAGAGUCGGUCGCUUCACGGACUGAGCCCCCCAGGCGGCCCUGCGCGCACCCUCCCUGACCCAUUUGGGUCUUGGAUUUCAUCCGACCAUGCUGCAAAACAGAAAGAGCCCACAGGUUUUCCUAAAAGUGACCCCGUCUUCACGGUGGCUGCAAAGGGGGCAGGCCAGCCGAACGGAGAUUCUCCGGACUCGUGCCUCUGUCUGUCCUUUUUGAACACCGUGUAUUUCCAUCCUAAGAAGAGCCAGUCUUCGGAUGCGCCUGGAUGGGCGCAACUGAGCACAUAUUAAACACACGAGCCAGAGCUUUCAGUCACCCCCUGAGCUGGCUCAGCUGGUCUGCCCUUGAAGUGCCCGUUCCUUCCCCUCCCGGGGAAGCUCCCCAGCACUGACUGUCCCCAGGCCCAGCCUCCCGCCAGCCAGCAUGCAUACACGGAACGCGUCACGAGUGGGAAACAAACUUCUGCCGUGUGAAGCCGCUGACAUUUUAGGGUUCGUUGUUAUAGCAGCCAGCACUAGCCUAGCUGAUUUGCUCGGUUGGCCUCUGACCACUCCCUUACGUAACUGCCCACGUGUCUUUCUCACCAGACUGGGAGCUCGGUGAGAAGGGGCCCAGUCUGAUUUGCCUGUACGUGUGGAGGGUGAUGCUCGUGUCUGCAACACGUGUUAAUUGAACGAGUGGAAGUUGAAACGUGCCGGCUGUCGAAAAUUGUAACCAGAAAGAGAAGCUGGACGUGUUGUUUGACAUCUUUCCCGGGAAAACGGGACCAGAAAUCCUAGGAGGCUUCCUGGAAGAGGUAACUAGACCAAUGGCAAGGGAAGGACAAGUCCUUUGGCAGGGACCACGGCAGACAUGUGGGGAGCUGAAACUGAAGGCAAACUGGCCUGUAUGGGGGAGGGAUAGGGUCUUUGGGAGUGAGAGAUGAAGCACCGUAAAAAUGACUGGGAGAAAAAGGAAGGAAUGGAGGGGAGCCUUAACUCUGGGCAUGCCCUCUGCACAAGUGCUCUCCCACCCCUUACCCUUUCUCCGCCCCAGGAGGACCUCUCCGAGCUUUUACAAAGGAGCCUCGGAGGCUGAAAUAUUUGCCCGAAGCCAUGCCAUGGGGAGACCUGGUCUGUUCCCACCCCAAGGCCCUGCUCUUCCCUUCAUCACACCCGCAAGACGGGACUGCUCUACAGCAGAGAGAGGGGGCCACCUCCCACCCGGCCCCAGCCUCUCCUCCUCCCAGGUGAGUGGACUGGCAUGACUAGAGGAGCACUCAGAAUCAGGACACCUGCGCCUAGGCCCAUCCCUGCCUGCGACUGGUCACCUGACCGUGAAACGGUCCCUUCUGUGAGGUUCAACUUGCCCCUCUGAAAAACGACAGAUUGGGGCCAGAGGACCUCUGAAGGCUUCUCGCCGCACAGGAUCCCCGGCCCUGGGCAGGAGCGUGUGAGCCACACUCUCACGUACGAAGGAGAGAGGCCUUUGCCAGUCCCUUACCAGGGAGGGCUGGGAAGCAGGAAGACCGUGGUGUGGGGACAGAGUCAGAGCAGUACAGCAGGAGGAGAGAUGGGCCCUGACGGCAGCUAUGUGUGGCCCUGGGAAGUGGAAAAACCCAUCUGGGGAAAGAAGGUGCGGGCUUGGGGUCAGCAGCCCCAACUGUGCCUGCCGAAGAGCCCGGGCUCAAGCCCUCAGUGAAAAAGAGGGAGAGCUCUGCUUCUGUGAGGUCUUUUAGUUGCAGGAGAUGCACACAUAAACGUCUCUCUCUCGGAGCCAAGUGCAUACCGUGAAUGCUUUUGACAGAAUGGUUCUCCUUCAGCAUUCCUAGUGAUUGAGAUAAGUACAUUUAUUUCCCUCCCCAUCACCAUCUUCGCUGCUAGAGUGGAUGCCUUUUGGUAAUUUACUUUUUCGUCGAGUCUUUCAUUCGGUGGAUCUUUAUUGAGCACCUGGCAUCUUCCAAGUUCUGGGCUCGGUGGCAGAAAUACAGUGGCAGGAAAGUCAGUCUUCGUGGAGUUGGCAUAGCGGGCUGACCAGGCAGUGAUAGUGGUUAAAUAUACAAGACUCUGUAAGCCAGGAUUUCCCUAGAAGGCAUGAAACCAGAGAGAUACUGAGACAAUGGCCAGAUAGAGGGCCUUACUUGAGGUAGAAUGCCCAGGGAAGGCCUCUCUGGAAAGGGCCGGCCGAGCUAGGAUGUGGCUGGUGAGAAGGAAGCAGCCGCACAAGGAGCUGGGAGGAGGGGCCUUUGUAAAAAGACCCAAGAGACCCCGGGGAAGACCGAUGCUGUCUGGCACCCAAGGCCACUGAGCUUUUGCUACUUACUGCCUGGGGCAGAGGCAUUCUGGGGACAAGACCCCCAAGGAAAGGCCACGACCAGGCAAACUCUCUGGGCCACAGGAAAUCACAACCUCUGAUUCCGGCGUCUGUCCUCAUCAGUCCUGAUGUUUGACAACUAUUUCCUUCCCACCCCUGGCCCAGCCUCCAAGUGCAGAAACCCCGGAGCACGCCAAUGAAAUUGAUUUAGUGCUGGCGGUACAUUCUCUUCCCCAGCCUCGGGCAGGAGAGAUUUACGGCUCCUGGAAAUACUGCCCCUCCCUGCUUCCUGUAAAUCUCCCACCACAUUUCGGGCGGCUGGAGCUAUUUGGGUAACCUUUAUCUGAACCAGAACUUCCUCGCCAGGAACUUCAGAGGGUACCUCCAGGAAGGACGGGAGAACCCCAGGGGCUGGCUUGUUUUGGGGAGGAUUCCAGGCCUGCUGAGGACAGCUGCUCGGCAGGCAUCAGGCAGAGAACAGAGUUCUUCUUUGAUGCCGUGACUGCCUUUGUGGGGUUGGCACAAAACCCCAAAGGAGCAUUUAGGGUUUAUGGAGGGCGUGCGGAUAGGCAGUGCGUUAUUGAGCCUGAAAGCCGGGCCCCUGGAAAUAAAAAGGAUUCGGGGAAUCGUCUGAGGCCAGAUGCUCGGGGCUGCGAGGGAGCUGUGCAUUGUGGGAGAAAGACAACGGCUUUGAGUCAGACGGGUCUUGCAGAUGUUAUAUUAUAUUAUAUAUCAACGUGUUCACGGGCUGUCUGCCUGCCUGGAAUCUCGUCUCUGUGAGGCCAGGUCUUUGAUCAUUCCCAGAUAUAUCCACAGCACCUAGAACCACGCUUGGCUUGUCAUUAGCACUCAGUAAGUAACUGGUGAGUGCAUCGGUAAUUCCAGAAUAUAUUCUGGCCCCCCAGUGUGUGACCUUGGGCAAGUCACUGCCUCUCGGAGCCUCAGUUUUUUUUCUCUAAACAUUGGGAUAAGGACGGAUCGAUCAAAAUGUGAAAGGAGCUGCUAUUUGCUUAGACACGUUCAGUAAAUGUUCUCUCCCUUCUCUUUCCUCUGCUGCCUCUCUCUGAGGCCUGGGACUGAAGACAAAAAAAAAAGCCUGGCUGCUGUGCUCUCAAAGCGGUAGGCGCUGAGCCUCCCGGGGUGGGCACCUCCCAGGUCACAGGGAGACCUCACACUGGUCAGGUCACUUAAAACGUAUGUUUCUUUGGGAUUCUGGGACCGAGAGAUUUUUAAAGUCGCCUGGUGCACAGAGGCGCUGCGGAAGGGCUUAGUGGGGGGUUCGGGGACCUUCGCAGCCCUGCAGGAGGCUGAGGGAACGGACAGCCCGCCGCGGUGGCCGCGAACUGCGGGUAAGGGCACAGCACUCUGAGUUCCAGGACAGAGUCCCCCUGAGCAGCUGCCAGGCGGGAAGCCUUCUGGGACCAGCUCUUCCUUUGAUCAAAGGGAGCGGGACGCGUGCCCCCGGAGCACCCACGUCCCCUGUCUGAGAGUGCGGUCCCUUCUCCAAGUGCUGCCGCCCCAGACCUCAGAGGCCAGGUCUGCACCUUCCUCCUCUUCUUUCCUAGGCUCCUUUCACAGAGCCAGGUGACACAGGAGGGGCGUAAGAGCGGUCCCACCUCCCCCGGGGCCUGUGGUGACAUUUAUCCCGAACAGGCUAGCCAGUGGCUGCUGUCUUUGCCCAGAAGGAGUAAAAGGAGCAACACUGAAAUUGCUUCAGUAAACAGCCCAGUCAGAGCAAACCCCGGGCCUCAUUAACCACAAUUAGGAUUUCUGCUCUGACUUCCAAGGAACUCAGCUUGGGACCCAAGACUGUUUAUUUGAAUAAGACCGUGGCCGGGGCUGUGGGAGGGGAGGGACAGAGGUGGAGGUGGAGGUCAGGCGGCAGGCGUUGGAUCUUUCUGUCAUUCUGGACACUUUAAUAAUGGGAAAACCUUUGACCUGAGCCCUCCCAGAUCCCUGGAUUCCAGAACCCAAAUGACUACAGGGACGGCAGUUUUGAAUCUCCCUCGAAUUCUUAAUUGAAUGGGAUAAGGUACCCAAAAGUGCCCUGGGCCUAGCAAGGACUCAAGAGACGCUUGUUACCUCUUCGCAGUUUGGUCACGUCUAAAGCACAAAAAGGAAAGCUCAUUUUUCACUAAAACGCUUUGUUCGGGUCACGGUAUCUUUCACUUGGCCAUUUUUUUUGUUUUCCCCUGUAUGAAAAGCAAACAAGCAAAUGAACUACCAGAUCUCUGAUAGUACGGCUUAUCUUUUAGGUUCUGAAUACUGCAUUUCUUCUAGCAUUCCUCUCCCCCGCCCCCUGAGAUUCUGUUCAACCUAAUUUGUCCCUCGGAUCCUGGGAGCCCCGUCCACUUCCGUUAUCCCGCACGGCGGUGACAGAGCUAACGUUUUUCUUAGGGCUUUGCCGUUCGCAAGGUCUUUCUUUUCCUCCGCAUAGCUUUUCUUGUCGGAGCCUCCCAAGAGUCAUUUCACGUUAGUGUUAUUAGUGUUUUCACUUUAGAGCAGAGCAAAGAGAGGUUCCGAGAGGCUAGGGGGUCCUGCCCGCUGUCUUCAGGCCAGUAAGGAGCUCCCUGACCGCGAAGCCAUUCAGCUAACAACCACUUACGGAGCACCUGCACAGUGUGGGCACUUGAGAUACAAAAUGAAUGACAUGGUCCCCGCUCUCCACGUGCUCGUCCUCUGGUGGUUUAUUCGGCUGAAUUUCCGUGGAUCUCUUCCAGCAGCUUGCACCGGACUGGACGGGGUCCAGUUGCUGGUGUUGGCUGGUUGGCUCGGCGAAUGAGCGAACGUGGGACGUUUCAGGCUCCGCCAGCUCCCACUGGGCCGGGGCUGGGGCUGGAAGCCUGUGUGCUGGGGGCACGGCACUCACACUCUUAGGACCAGGGAUCAGAGCACGGCUGGCUCCACGUGCCCCCCUGGUGAACCACAGAGUCGGACGUGCCUAAAGAGGGUAGGAGCCAGACCCGCAGACCAGAGAAGACCUCUGCCUUCAACCUGACCCAAGGGUCCUCGGGCCAGGCCACCCAAGGUUCCGAAUGGGCUAACAAUACUAAUGGACAACCGCCCUGGGUCUGAGCAGAGUCCACGGACACAUUCAUCCAAUUCUAAGUGAAAAGCAGGCUUUAUUCCCUGAAACUUGAAUGAUUACCUGCCAGCCUAUAUGUUUUUGUAGAGAUCUAGAAAAUAUAGCUGGAAGGUUGAUUAGAAGUCAGCAGCAAACUUUCUUUUGUUGGGUGAGAAAGCAGGCCAAAAGAGAGUUUGUCUAAGCUCAUUUGGCAUAUUCUAGGACAUAUUGUAAGAUGGGGCUGGAGACCGGAAUUGGAUAGGGAAAGAGUCUCAGCUCUCCGUUGACUUCCUGUGUGACCUUGAGUGCACCCUCUAUCUCUGGGCCUUAGUUUUCCAUCUGUAAGAUGGGAGGUGGUCACUGUAAUCCUUCUAGCCCUAAAAGGUAAGUGAAUCUAGAUUUUAUACUCCAUGUGCAAAGAUUAGGCUGUAUGGAAUAUUAGGUACCAAUGUAAUGAGCUACGAUAAUCACCAGGCGGAUACGUUACCUUUUCUCUGAUUAGGUGAUCUGGAAAGGGGAAAGGACCUCCUUGUAAUGGUGAGUUGAAUUCAUGCAGGCUUUUAAAGAAGUUUAAAGAAAGGCCUUUUAAAGGAGUUGAAAGAAAGGCCUUGUGACAUAGAUCAGUACCUGGUCAAUGCCAGGCUCUCAAACAUUUGUCGAAUGAAUGAAAGGGAGUUCCAGGUGUGGGUUCUGAGGAGGCCUGUCUACAGAUGGACGUCAACUGGUCAAACAUAUGUAGGUCGCUGGGAGCUGGUGAGUGCAGAGAUGAGGGAUGGAUAGGUAAAUGGGCACAACAUACACCCGAGACCCCGACCUAAGAGGCUCCGUUGGUGAUGUUCUCUCUGAGGAGUACCUGGGGUCCGUGCUCAGAGCAGCCCAAGGUAGCAAGCCAAGCCCUAUUGCCACCCAAAGGGCCCCCUUUGUGUUCACCUGCUUCAGACCAGGGGCCUCUCCUUGGCCGCUGUGGUCCCUUGUCCUCUGAGAGCUCUCCGGGGACAUGCCAUGGGGAAACCCCAGUGGAGCGUGAAGGUUGAGAGCAAAGGCCCGUGGGAGGAAAGCACAGACUUGACCAGUCCAAAUCCUCAGCCCUCAGAGCACACGCUCAUCCCUCCCCACUUAACUUCUUGGGGCUCCCAUGGAAACUUUUCCUUCCCUCUGCUAUAUUCUCACCUGCUUCUCAUGCAAGUGUGUGGUUGGCGGUUUCCCUUGCUGAACUGGGAGGCUGUGUGUCGUCUCCAUCCCAGCGCCUUCCCUGACUCAGGGCCAGGCUGGGUUCAUGGUCAUGCAAGGAGUGGCCGAAUGAAUAAAUGGCUGAUUCUACCACCCACAGUGGGUGGAUCCCCAAACGGCAAAGGACACUGAGUAAACAAGUGUGGCCCUCCAUUGUGGUUGAUAACGUUUUUCCAAAUGGGAAUAACAGUGUGUAUCUUACAUCAUGGUACGGAAAAAGGUUUUAGACUUGAACAGGAAUACUUUCUUUAGCAAAAAAACCUUCGUCUUUGCAUGACCCUUUCCAGUUUUUAAGGUUUUAUCUUGAUUCUCUCAUUUUGUCUCAGAGCAUCUUUGGUAGGAAGCUGGGAUGAGGAUCAUCAUCUCCCAUCUGGGGAAGGCACCGAGGCUCACGGAAGUCAAGUGACUCAUCCAGGAUCACGUUGAGGGUCAGGGACAGCCCCGGGGUCAGACCCAGCUUUCCUGGUUCCCCGUCCUGGGCUCUCCCCAAGUCAUGGUCUUCUAUUUCUACAUUCCCCCCGUGGCCAUGUGUAAAAGAAGCUAGGAGGCAAAGAAAGGUUUGCUCAAAGAACGCUUAAAAAGAAUGAUGUUCUUAAUUAAUAACAAAAGCAAACGCACACUCUUAGUGGGUUCAUAAACAGCAAGCUUCAACCUAAUUGAUUAAAAUGCCCUGGCACCAAAUUAACAAUGACUUCAAAAACAAUGAAAUCCAGCCAAGGCCACAAUAAAACCGUUUCCCCCCUUUUUAAUUAUCUUUGUUGUUUUCAAAUUUGCCUGAAACUCUUCCGUAUGUCUGGGCAGGUCGCACCUGCCACUGUGACCAGAGCGGGAAGGCAGUGCGUGCGUGCGUGUGUGUGUGUGUGUGUGUAUGUGUGUAUGUGUGUGUGGAAGCCCACAGACAGGGGGUUUACUCUGAAAGUUGCCAGCUCUGUGACCUGGAGCAGGUCACCAAAUGACGGUAGCCCUCAGCAUCUCCGCCUUUAAAAUGUGGAGGGCAACACCUGUCGUAUAGACUCAACGCGGAAGAUAUAGGUAAAACAGCCAGCAGAGGGUCUGGCACAUGGUAGGUGAACGAUAAAUGGACAUUCGCUUCCUCUUUCUGCAUACGGUCCUUAAAGGACCUCAGAGACACUUUAAACACAGGAAAGAGAGGUCGCACUGCCCAGGGGUGGAAACCUAAUGGCCAAACUCCGAUGCCCCACGUUACCUGCUUCCUGCAGGACUUUUGCGAUCAGAUCCUCUGUAUGUGAUGUGACAUGAGGCAUGUCACGUAACCUCUCCGAGCCUCAGUUUCCUGAUCUGCUAAACGGCCAUCCCAAUACCGACAUCGGUGGCCAGGCUCCGUGAAUGGUAGCUGUCGCUAUCACGUGGACUACAAGGGGGGCUUGGAAGAAGGUGUCAGACAGCCAGAUUCAAGUCCUAAUUCUGCCACGUACAGGCAUGCUGUGUCUGCUCCGGGGCCGUUUUCCUCGUCUCUGGAAGACAGAGAAUGAAUCCUGGCUCGCCCACCUGCAGGACAGCUUCGGGGACCCAGGAGCCCAGGGAUGGCGUCCACCUUGGCUGCACAUCACGGCCACCCAAGGAGCUCGACAACUACUCAGUGCCGGGGAUCCACCUGCCUCCGAUUGGCUCGGUCAGGAUUUGGGUGGCUGGGACCCAGGCGGAUGUGUUUCUUACACAUUUCGGGUGGGUUUAACGUGCUCCCAGGUUGUGAGUCACCGGGAUGAAGAUGUACCCCUGUUUUCUAAAUCGGAGAACCCUGUGCACACGCGGGGGUCCGGCAGGAGGGCCCCCCUCCUGGUCCUGCUCUUGCGGGGCAGAGAAUUCUUGGGGCCACCAUUCGUUCCUCUGCCGCGGGGUCGGGAGGCUUCAGCUUCUCUGAUUCCCUUUCAACACUUCCCAGGAUUCUGUCGCAUCUGAAGAGGGAAGCAGGGUGCUGGCAGUAACCGGGGCAUGCUGACUCUAACCUUUAAAAAAACAAGCUUUAUGGUGAAGACCAAAAGGUCUUAUAAACCUUAAUGAGCGGCAUAUGUGAAACACAUACGUGAAUUGCUUGUUUGAAAAAUAUUUCCCGGCUAGCCUUCAAUAGCAUAGCCUUAUUAUUCUAAACGGGGAGCUUGUCUUACCAGAGGACCGAACAAAACCCCAGUUGGAGAUAAUUAUCUUAGCAGAAUUCCCCGUGGGUCCCUGGGGAGGGGAUGGGGCGGGAGCCUCUGGAACACAUGUGCUAACUUAGGCCGCCUUUGUCUACACAACAAACACAAAAGCUGGGCUCUCGGCAGCGAGAAUUCCAGCUCCCGAAACGGUGACCUCAAGACUCAUUCCGCGGAUGGCGAAUAGGUUUGUUUCCACGGGUGGGGGCUGGAGGCGGGAAGGUGGGGGUGGAACACACGUGCGUGUCCAAACUCAUGUUCUAGGCAGGAGCUGGGAGGUGCGGGGAAGGACAUAAGGGAGCCAGAAGUCAAAAGACCCAGGCCGUGCCGGCUAAUUCGGGCUCGGGGACGUGACUUUGAGCAGAUGGCCCACGCUGUGUAGGUCUCAGUCUCUCCGUGUGUGAAAUGGGGUCCCUGUGAUGAUUCCGCGGGAUGACAAAAGUGAGGAGAAAUGAUUUGAUCCAGAGUCCCGUGAAGGAAAGCGACCUCUCCCUCUCCUUCAGUCCCUCCCGGAGGCCGCAACCUCACGCGCAACCUGCCUUCACUGCGGAAAAGCAGAGGCUGGAGACGCUGCCCGAAGCAAGGAUUUCUGGUUCCCAGAGCUCCCUGUUUCGGGAGGCUAUUCAGGUGCCAUCACCUGAAGGUUCGGGCGGUCAGCCUUCCCAGCCUGGCACCCCGAUGUUCAGGGAAAGUGGGCCACUGGGCCUCAAUUAGCUGGGUAAUUGCUUCAAUUCCCCACUGCUCCCUACCCCUUAAUUAUCUCCCUGCUGCCCCCCAGUCCUGAGCUGACGAGUGCCACUGAGCCGCCCUUUUCCCAGGCUGGAAGCCACAAGGGGAAGCCACUUCCCUGGGACUUGUCCCACAACUGCAGGCAGCCUGAGGAGAGGCAGGCAAGCCCCAUCAGGCCCAAAGCCCUCUUUGAUCCCUGUCUUCCCACUCCAGACCUCCUCCAGAGGCUCGGGAUAAACCUGGCUGUGCGGGUAUAAGUGGGGCAAGGGGCAGAGCUGGAAGGCUGGGUCGUGGAAUGGACCGACCAAGACAUUCAGAGGAGUAACCCUGGGCAAAGGACUUGAGUUUCCCCAGCCUCCGUUUUCUCAUCUGUAAAAUGGGGCUAAGAAGGUCUCUUCAGGAAGAUGGUGGUUGUCAGGGUCGAGUAAUUACUCAGCGCGCAUGCAUAGUUAACUGCAGGGGUGCUCUCUUAAACAGCCCCCUUCUCCUUCUCCUUCUUGACUCCUUCCACCAACGAUAACUCUUCAGGCCAGCGAGGCAGCUGAGUGAUGUGGGAAGUGGUGCAGAGCAGGGGCCGUGGGCAGCAAAGCCCCGGGCGCGCUUUACGCCUCAGUUUCCCCACGUACAGCGUUACUCCCUGAGGGCGCGUGCGCCUUCUGAUGUUCUAUGAGGAGCGAGGAGAGAACCUCCUCCAAACCCCGAGAUUCCACCUCCCAGGCAUCGCCCCGUGUUCGGCUCCUCUCCUUGCCUCGAACGCACGCACCCUGCAUAUGUUCCCACCAGGGUAAACAGAGUCAUUAACACUUUAUCUUAAUUGCCACUAAUGAUGGUAAAUUUGCUUGAUUACGUAAAACGGGGCUUUCUGGAAACAUCCUAAGCUGAACUGGAACAUUUAAAAUUUCAGCUAAUUCCAGCUUUGCAGCUGAACCUAAUUGGUCAAUUGUGGGUUAUUAAUGGAGGAUCUGACUUCUCCGAGGAUAGGCUGCUGGGGACAAAUGUGGGCCAGGAGCGAAAGGAAAGGGCCACCACCCAGAUCAGGGCAAGGCUGGCAAGGGAAGAACCAGAGGAUGGAUUUUUCCUUGAUUACUCCAUUCAAUUCUUGCUUCAGCCAUUUUCAUGGGUUUCCUUAGGUAUUCGUGUGGGUUUUUUCCCCCACAUUUCAUAAAGUGUUUUAAAUCCAUCAAAUUGGCACUUUUAUGAAAUUUACUAAAAGAUUCAGAGUUGGUUUUAUCUUCCACCCAUCUCCUCACUGUUUCAUAUACACAUUGAUCGAUUUUAUAUUAAGGUAUCUCUUCCGUUAUUUUUUUUAAACCAGAAUUCCAUUUUGGGUUUUUUGACAACGCCCUGAUUAUAAUGCUUAACUUUUCUCAUUUAAAUUGCUUCCUUUAAAAAAAAAUUCAAUACAUUGCCUUGAGGCCCGUGGUAGUGUCUGAAUGACAAAUGCAUAUGUGUGUCUGUUUUAUUCAACAAUCUAAAAGUUAGUUUGUCAAGAUCUAUGGUUGAAAAUUUUGACUUAAAAAAAUUGCGACCCUCCGGCUCGACUGCUACUUGUGCGGCCACAGUGGAAGGAUGAGACGGUGUCCCGUGCUUUCUCCUGCCCAGUGCGCUCCUCCUCUAGAAUGCUGGGAGCAAGCCUCCCAAAACACACAAAGUCAAGGGCUAAAAGGUAUUACUGUAUAUGCUCUUGCCCAAGUAAAUCUGACCCAUAUGUAGUCACCCUUUCCUUUCUCACUCUUUUUAUAAAUGUUUUUUAUUUAUUUGGAGAGAGAGACAGAGAGAGGAGUGCACAUGUGCUCACAAGCGAAGGAGGGGCAGAGAGAGGAGAGAGAGAGAGAGAAUCCCAAACAGGCUCUGCACUGUGACAUGGGGCUUGAUCUCAUGAACCGUGAGAUUGUGACAUGAGCCGAAAUCAAGGGUUGGAUGUGUAACUGACUGAACCCCCAGGUGCCCUUCCUUCUCAUACUUUAGGACUUUCCAGUUUAUGAAACCCUCUCGAGUUUUUUUCCCAGAUGAUCCUACAACAGCUUUAUGAGGUUGAGGCAGGUCAGUGGUUGGAAAACCCACUUUACAGAUGAGUCCACUGAGGUUCACACUGACUUCCUCCAGCCUCCAUUCACAUAGAUUCAAAUCCAGCUCUUUUGAGUCAGAAUCACCAGCUGCUCUGCCAGCAUGGGAGGCUGUCAGGUUCGAGAAGACCACAAAAGGAAGGAGGCAGUGGAGGGAGGGGCUCAGGUUAUCAGCCCUCCACCCUGAGGUCCAUGGCGUCACUCCCUCAGUCUCUGGCUGUCCUUUAGAAAACGAGGACUGUGAGUUUGUCCACAUGGGACCUGUUACGGACUGACUUACGCACCCCCACCUCCCCCCGCAAGUCGUAGGUGGAAACCCUAACCCCCAUGUGAUUGUAUUUGGAGACAGGGCCCUUAAAGAGGCUGUAUGGGUGAGGCCCAGAUCCAAUAUGGCUGGUGUCCUUAUAAAGAGAGGAAGGGACACCAGGGACUUGAACUCACAGAGAAAAGGCCAUGUGAGGACACAACACGAAGAUAGCUGUCUACCAGCCAAGGAGAGAGGUGUCGGGAGAAACCAACCUGGCCCACACCUUGACCUUGAUCCUCAAGCCUCCAGAACUGUGAGUAAUCAGUUUCUGUUGUUUAAACCACCGUCUGUGGUAUUUUGUCCUGGUGGUCUGAACAGACCAACCCAGGGUCCGCCCGGUCACUUUGUGUCUCUCCCUGCCGACACUCUGGCAGGGCCGGGGGUGGGGGCAGGUUGGGAUGGCUCAAAAUGCUAAAACCUAGUCACCUUAGAGCACUUUGCUGCAACCCCACUGCGGGAACAGGGCUGUCCCUGGGUAUGCAGGACCCUUUGCAAACAUUUUUUUGCUGGGAGAUUCAUGCGCCCACGUGAGACCCAACGGGUCUCAUACUCGUGGUGUUACUGCAAACAUCAAAUUAAAGGACCCGGAACUAUCACUCCUUGGGGAAAUACAGGGGUAGGUUCCUGAGAGCCUCUGGUCACAUUUUUGUGAACCGAUCACCGCAUAACCUUGUUUUAUGUGCUUCUGUUUAAAGACAACUUAUUCAAUACGUAUUGUUGAUUGAUUAACAUUGAGCUCAUGUCCAACGGCACUGCAACUCAUGCCUGAACCCGUGUCCUCUCUGUUAGGCACGUCACGGCCUUCUCAUACUCAGGAACACUAAGAGACUUCAGCACUGUGCUUGUGGUGAGCAGGAUUUUAAACAGCGAAAUCACCAAGAAAAAGCACAAAAAUUCAGGAAAAAAGAAAGCGACACUAGAUGUAAUUGAAAAAGACACUUUUUCGGGGCACCUGGGUGGCUCAGUCGGUUAAGCAUCUGACUUCAGCUCAGGUCAUGAUCUCACGGUUCGUGAGUUCGAGUCCCGCUUUGGGUGAGCUCGAGCCCUGCGUCGGGUGAGCCCCGCUUCUCUCUCUCUGCCCCUUGUUCACUUGUGCCUUCUCUCUCCCUCAAAAAAAAAAAAAAAGACACUUUUUUACAGUACAAGAGCUGAGACCAGAUAGGCUAUUGUCUUAUCCAACCUCAGCUGGUGGGAAUGUGCACACUGGGUGACUUGAGUUUUUUACCACUCUGCACAUUCAUGCAAAUAACUGCAAAAGCACCUUGGGUAUUGGGGGGCACCUGGGUGGCUCAGUCAGUUAAGUGUCCGACUUAGCAUUCCUAGAAUGUAAUCUCUUUCAGUGUUGACCUUGCCUUUCACACACUGCUAGGUUACUGGCUCAGGUCAUGAUCUCACAGUGUGUGAGUUCAAGCCCCACAUCGGGCUCUGCACUAACAGUGUGGAGCCUGCUUGGGAUUCUCUCUCUUUCACUCUCUCUGCCCCUCUCCCAUUCUCUCUCUCUCUUUCUCCCUCACAAUAAAUAAAUAAACUUUAAAAAUAAAGCACCUUGGGUAUUGGUUUUGGGGCUACAAGUAAAUUUAGCGAGGAAGAAAAUUUGCAAAUAUAGAACAUGUAAAUAAUGAGGAUCAACCGUAUAAUGGCUUCUUGAUGAAGAUUUUGAAUGAUAGUAGAAAAGAGGUACUUAUACGUUUGUUUAUCACCUUUUUAAAUUUUUAAAAACAUUUUUGCUUAUUUUUGAGAGAUAGAGUGCAAGCAGGGGCUGGGGAGAGAGAGAGAGAGAGAGAGAGAGAGAGAGAGAGAGAGAGAGAGGCAGAAUCUGAAGCAGGCUCCAGGUUCUGAGCGGUCAGCACAGAGCCUGACGUGGGGCUUGAACUCACGGACAGUGAGAUCAUGACUUGAGUCUGAGACCCUCAACCGACUGAGCCACCCAGGUGCCCUUGUUUGUUUAUCAUCUAAUCAGUGCUGCUGAAGAUUCCCAAUUAGUGUCCGAGCACCGUCUGUGACUGCUGAGAUCUAGGGAUCAUUUCAACAGGGUCUUUACUAACAAACGCUUGGUUCCUGGUUAGUUGCCGAUCUCCCACUUAAAGAAAAAGAAGAAACACUAUCAGUGCUCACAACACUAUGGCUCAUCAGGAUGUGCUUGUAUGGAAACCAUCUAGAACCUCUUGCCUCUUGCAGUUUCCUGAUACCAUUUGUUGAAGGCUGGUUCCAUCAUCACCAGUGUAAUUCUCAUACAGGAAGAUGUAAUUGAUAGCUCAUGUUCCGGUCAUGUUAAAUUUACUGUUCAGAAUUUUGUAACAUAAUCGUAGGAUCUUGAGGUCUGUGUGUCAUUAUCACUGCAUUCCAAGAAUGUAAUCUCUUUCAAUGCCGACCUUGCCUUUCACACACUGCUAGCAGUGGGGAGGAUGGGCAAAGGACCUGUGGCACAAGAAACGUCUGUCUUCAUCUUUCACAGCUUAAUAUCACCUGGGGAGAGCAUACACCCCACAUCAACUGGAGGCAAGAGAGGACAUUGAUUGGAAGGUCCCAUUUGGUUUGUGUAGCAACUGUCUUCAGAAGGCCCAAGAGAAGACAAGAGCAGCCGCCCACAGAGGACAGCUU